rnacentral:rRNA from 1 species
UACGGAGGGUGCGAGCGUUGUCCGGAAUCACUGGGCGUAAAGGGUGCGUAGGCCGCACGGUAAGUCAGAGGUGAAAUCCCGGAGCUCAACUCCGGAAUGGCCUCCGAUACUGCCGUGCUCGAGGACUGGAGAGGAGUCUGGAAUUCACAGUGGAGCAGUGAAAUGCGUAGAUAUUGUGAGGAACACUAGUGGCGAAGGCGAGACUCUGGACAGUUCCUGACGCUGAGGCACGAAGGCCAGGGGAGCAAACGGG